GACCUUUGAAAGAGCAGGCAGUGCUCAUAACUACUGAGCCAUCCUAGCGCCAGAGCCUGAAAAGGUGAACCCUCUGGGGCUGACUUGGGGGGUCAGAGAGAGUAGGCUUCUGCAAAUUGCCCAAGGCCC